CAUGGGAUCCUUACUAUCUGGAGGUUUUGUUUUGUUUUUUCAUGGAUUUUACAUCUUUCCCCCAGUGUCCUCACAUCCAUAUACUGGGGAAGGGGAUGGAAUUAUGAAGAGAAAGGAGAGUUGGUAUAUGGCUCAUCAAGAAAAAGAUCAAGUCUCACCAGAAAUCUGAGGAACUACAGAGGCCUCUUGGGUCUGUUUCUGACAAAGUCUGACCCAAGGUGCCUUACUUCUCCUGAGCUAAUUCUAGAGGGAGUUGACAGAUUGCAGGCUCCUAAGUGGAGAAGGGGUGAAAGCAGAUAUUCUAUUUCUGCAGAAAUUUAUGAGAAGCGAAUCCCUGCAGUCAGCCAGCAUUUCCACUCGUGGGUUUUCAAAAGAUCAAAAACCGGAAAGGACCUGCAAAUUGGCAAAUCGCUAAGAGGAACCGCCCAGCGGGUCUGCGUCCUUGGGAUCUCAACAGCUGAGGACCCCACAUCCAAUCGACAACGGUGGGAAACCCCAGGGAAAGCAGGGUUCUUGCAGAGGCCUGGGGUUACUGAGUGCAGGCUGCAGGGAAGUACCUAGAGGGAGGGGGCCUGGUCCGGAGGACUUUCCAGCCACUCAGGGCUCAUCAAAAAGUUCCCUGUGCAUGACCCCAGUGGCUCAUCGCAGGGAGUUUCUCCAAUGAACCCCGGCCCUGGGUUUAGGCUUCUCAGUCGAGGACGAGCCAGUUCUUUUUCUAGUCUGACUGGCUUGGAAAUUCCCCGAGCCUGACCCCGCCCCUGAGAAAUCCCCUGCCAGCGUUUAUAGGGCGGCGCGGCGGCGCUGGCGAGCCCACAACAGUCGCA
rnacentral:lncRNA from 1 species